UUUGAAGGAAGGAGACGACUUCAACGGCAGGAAAACAAUUCCCGCCGCUUCACCACACUCCGAAACCGUAAUCUCCCGGCGUUUUUGCUGCCAACGCACCGCGAUUCCGCUGCAAAAUCAGUUUAACUGAGCUUGAACAACAAUUGUUUCCUUCCGAUCGCGUUUCGGAAUAGGCAGUAGAAGAGAAUGAAGAUCAAAGGAAGCAAAGUCGCCGGAGGAAGCUGGACAACCCUAGGACUGCCUUUAAUUUUCCUUUUAUGCCUCUUCUUCUUCCUCGCCGGUUUCUUUGGCGCAUCUCUUUUCUCUCAGCAGGAGAGUCCUACUAGUAAUUUGAGGCCGCGGACGAGGGAAUUGGUGGAGGAAGUGAUGGAUUUGAAGGGGAUCGCACACGGAGAUUCCGGCGAGGACUCUGUGGAGACGAUACCCGUUCAGAUUCUGAGCUGGAAGCCUAGGGCUUUAUACUUUCCGAACUUUGCUACUGCAGAACAAUGCCAAAACAUUAUCAGAAUGGCAAAAGUAAAUCUCAGGCCAUCAACCUUAGCUCUACGGCAGGGAGAAACAGCAGAUAAUACGAAAGGAGUCAGGACAAGUUCUGGGAUGUUUAUCAGUGCAAAUGAAGACAAAAGUGGAACCCUGGAUCAGAUUGAGGAAAAAAUUGCUAGAGCAACAAUGAUCCCCAGGAAACAUGGAGAGUCCUUCAAUGUCUUGCGUUAUGAGAUUGGGCAGAGAUACCAGUCACAUUACGAUGCAUUCAAUCCAGCUGAAUAUGGCCCACAAAAGAGCCAGCGGCUGGCUUCUUUUCUAUUGUAUUUAUCUGAUGUUGAAGAAGGUGGUGAAACCAUGUUCCCUUUAGAGAAUGGGCAAAACAUAGAUAGCAAUUACGAUUUUGGGAAAUGUCUUGGUCUAAAAGUGAAGCCACGGACAGGAGAUGGGCUACUAUUCUACUCCCUGUUUCCAAAUGGCACAAUUGAUCCCAGGGAGAACUAUAGCUAGGUCAUAGGAGGCCUAUAGUGACGUUGUGAAAUGGGCUGGCAAGAGACGCGCUAUGAGGCACGAUUGAUUUAGUUCAGCGAGUUUGAUGGGAAGGGAUAGGAAAUGACAAUAGUAGAAAGACAAUAGAAGAGAGAAACAACGAGGAGACGAAGGUGCAGGGUGCAUUAGAGGAGCGAAAGACAUAAGAUGAAUCAUGCAUCUUUGGCAUCUCUCCACGGGAGCUGUCCGGUGAUCAAAGGUGAGAAAUGGGUAGCUACAAAAUGGAUCAGGGAUCAGGAGCAGGGCGAAGAGCUUUGAUGCCAUUUAAAUUGGAAACUUAAUUGGCAUCCAUUUUGCCAAGUAGUUAAGUUUGCCCCAAUUUUUGCGUUGUAUAGCACGUUUACAUUUUAAUCACUAGAUAUAUUUGUGUUAUGCUAGCAACAAUGCAUGGGAACUGUAUGUAAAUUUCGGAUCAGUGAUAAAACCACUCUUAAUGAUCUCGUUUUUAUCCAAA